GACGAACGCUGGCGGCGUGCCUAAUACAUGCAAGUUGAGCGCUGAAGGUUGGUACUUGUACCGACUGGAUGAGCAGCGAACGGGUGAGUAACGCGUGGGGAAUCUGCCUUUGAGCGGGGGACAACAUUUGGAAACGAAUGCUAAUACCGCAUAAAAACUUUAAACACAAGUUUUAAGUUUGAAAGAUGCAAUUGCAUCACUCAAAGAUGAUCCCGCGUUGUAUUAGCUAGUUGGUGAGGUAAAGGCUCACCAAGGCGAUGAUACACAGCCGACCUGAGAGGGUGAUCGGCCACAUUGGGACUGAGACACGGCCCAAACUCCUACGGGAGGCAGCAGUAGGGAAUCUUCGGCAAUGGACGAAAGUCUGACCGAGCAACGCCGCGUGAGUGAAGAAGGUUUUCGGAUCGUAAAACUCUGUUGGUAGAGAAGAACGUUGGUGAGAGUGGAAAGCUCAUCAAGUGACGGUAACUACCCAGAAAGGGACGGCUAACUACGUG
rnacentral:rRNA from 1 species